rnacentral:rRNA from 1 species
UACGAAGGGGGCUAGCGUUGCUCGGAAUUACUGGGCGUAAAGCGUGCGUAGACGGUUACGUAAGUCGGAUGUGAAAGCCCCGGGCUCAACCCGGGAAUUGCACUCGAGACUGCGUAGCUAGGGUGCGGAAGAGGGAAGCGGAAUUUCCGGUGUAGCGGUGAAAUGCGUAGAUAUCGGAAGGAACAUCAGUGGCGAAAGCGGCUUCCUGGUCCAGCACCGACGUUCAGGCACGAAAGCGUGGGGAGCAAACAGG